CCCGCCGGCGACCGGCGCACGGGUGAGUAACACGUAUGGAACCUGCCCGCAGCAGGGGGAUAAGCGGAAGAAAUUCCGUCUAAUACCGCGUAACACCGCAGAGGGGCAUCCCUCGGCGGUUAAAGAUUCAUCGGCUGCGGAUGGCCAUGCGGCGCAUUAGCUAGUCGGCGGGGUAACGGCCCACCGAGGCGACGAUGCGUAGGGGUUCUGAGAGGAAGGUCCCCCACACUGGUACUGAGACACGGACCAGACUCCUACGGGAGGCAGCAG
rnacentral:rRNA from 1 species